GCCUGUGAGUCAGGCGGUUUAAUACGGACAGAGGGAAAUGUUAAAGAAUAAGCCUCUGAAGUGAGGAAAGUUGGACAUGUCUGCUUGUUGCCAGUGGUUGUUAGCGAACUAACCGACUCGGCGUAUAUCUGGAGGAUGAAAGAGCAAAGACGGACUGCUCUUUGGUAUAACAGAUGGACGGGUGCAUGAUGGAAAGCAGCGGCAGCCUGUACAGCAAAAGGGUCGAGGAGGGACCAGACGCACAGAAGACAACACUCGACAUUUCCGAGAUGCUUCCUUUCUCAACGGUCGACUGUACCUGGAACACGGCCCUGUGGUCCUCCAGCACCUGCUCCUCCAUCUCCACCAGCUGAGAGACGGCCUCAUGGAAAGUAAAGAGCUGCGGGGAAACCUCCUCCUCCUAUAGAGAGAGCAACCAGCAGCUUCAGAUCAUCUCUCUGUGGAGAACUCCCGACUUCCCACUGAGCCUCCAGCACCUCCAGCUGGUUCACACAUCCUCCCUGACGGAUGUCCAUCCCUGCUGCAGGGUCCACUGGGAGCUCCUUCACACUAAAAUAACAUGAUGGUGUAACUUCUGCUGAGCUAUCUGAUGUAGCAUAGGGUUGUUUGUUGCAUGCAAUGGUCUGAGAUGUUGCUGGUGAAAAUGCUGAUCACAUGCAAAGGGAAACAAAAAAAAUACAGACUGACUCCAUGCAGGUUCAGAAGCCUGAAAAAAAUAAAAGCAGUAAAAUAAACACACACUUGGAGAUGGAGAAAACUGGAAAAAAUAACAAAAAUGCAGAAAUGGUCUCCUACACAAACUUAAAUGAGGUAACAACAAAUCCUAGCCCAAAGGGAAACU